CCACAUGAGUCUGUAUUUUGUUCACAAUGGAAUAAUAAACAUUGUGAUUAUUUAAUUUCCUAUGCAUUUCAUUUCCUUUAAACAAUGGAUUGGAGACCUUAUCGACGUACUUUAUUCAGAUUUUUUUAAGGAUUUCUCCUUUUGAAGCUUUUCCACUGUGAAUAAAUUAGAGUCACUGAAGAAGAAGACUGGAUCGUGAGUCUUCUACAUGCCUGAUUGCAACAGCUUCAACAGGACAGAAUCUCAGGGAGUCCUGCAGCCCAAAGAGUAGGGCACUCACCUGAGAGGUGGCAGAUGCUUGCUCAGAUUCUUUCUUCCCAUCAGGCAGAGUGGGGACUUGGAUUGUGUGUCUCCAACAUGCCAGCAACGAGGCCGCCCAAAAACAACAUGGCGAAGAGCUGUGGAAGCUGAGCUGAAAAACCUGGGGCACAGCAGGGAGAACCAUUGAAAGACUUGCCAGAAACAGAAAGGAGUGGAGGAGCUUCGUCACUGCCCUAAAUCUAAAUGCCAGAGGUGUAAUAGGAACAUCAUGAUGAUGAUGAUGAUGAUGGUGAGUACAGCAACUCCGCAAUAUAAACAACGCACUGCAACUUCUGCUCAGCAUCACCACCUGAAAAACCUUUUGCAGUGAAUAAGUAACAAGAGCUUGUGUAAACUGCUUUAAAGCAAUAUGAAUAUCCAAAUGUGGUUCAGUCUGAAACACAAACCACAAAGGCUGGGAUUAUCAAAGGAGCCUUAGGGAGUUGGAGUUCUAGCUGAAAUGUUUGGAAAUUAAUACAACCCUAGACUACAUUUGGGAUUAGAGACUGACUCUAAACCUCAAAUCCAAAUAUCCUCAAACCUUGGGCAAGUUUGAAUCCCAGUCCCAACUUUGCGGCCUCUGCUCAUGCCUCAUUUGAAUAUUGUGUUACCUUCCCUUGGUGUGAUGUGCCUUAAACCUUAACCCAGCAUUGGCCCCCCUCUUUAAUAAAUGCUUUACAAUGAUGAGCUCCGAUUUCACUUACCCGCAAGCUUUUCUGAUUCAACAUAUUGGGAUGUAAGGCUUGCAUGCAUUUACUAGGGCAGUCCUACUCUAGUCUAUUCAGAUUCUCAUACCACAACAACCACUAUGGUAUCUCAAUGCCCUAAAAUUUCUAUUCUUAAAAGGUUGAAACCUAAUGUUGAGAACAAAACUGAUUUAAUAUUUGGUAUGAAAAGCUUCUACGCUAACAGUAAACAAAGUAUAUAUUUUAGCAUAAUACCAGAUUUUUAGUUUUGCUGUAUACAAUAGUGAUAUCUCAGUGUUAUAAAUUGGAAAGGAUUGUUUUAUAAAGAGCAUAUUUAAAAUUUUUGUUCAUGUUAUAUGGGACAACUAGUAUUGUGUGUCCAACUCUCUUUGUUUCCUGGUAAAUACGGGAUUUUUUUUUUUUCCUAAAAGAAGUUUAAAGAUUGGAAAUUCUCUAGAUCACUGUUCUGGAUAAUUUAGGUCUCAUCUCAUUUCUGGUUGGGGAUUCAAUACAGUCAACUGAUAGGUAUUGACUUCUUCUCUGCACCCUACUUCAACUGAUUGGGUAACUAUUUAAAAAAAAAAAAAAGAAUGACAAGGUCUUCUGUUCCUCUACCCUGGAAGAUCCAGGAUUACGAUAUUAUCCUAUGAUUCUCUGAAAACAAUUUCCUGGUUUUUACUAUGAGUGCACUGAGAUAAAUCAGUGAUCAGUGCAUAGUUUAGGUUCACUGGUUAGUUCUUUUGUACCUUUUGGUCUGUUGUUCAAGCCUGCCUCCAGUUUUCCAUGUAUGUAACCAUUUCAAGAAGAUAGUUAACUUUUUGUUCUGCUUGGCUAACUAUUCUGUAGCGAUGACCAUUUUUAAAAUUAAUCUCUACAACACUCUAAACUGUGCCUGUUCUUGAUCUGCUGACCCCCUCCUCCCUCACUCAAUGGAUGGAUGGAUGGGCCCACUCUCAAUCUGACACCAAAGCAGGUCUAGGAGGGAAGGGACUCAAAUGGUCAAAAAUGAGCCUGUGCAUUCUCUUCAUUCUUUGACUGCAAGUUCAACAUGUCUCUUAAAACCUCCAAUCUUGAAGCUGAUGAGAGCUUUGGGUAUACAAAGAAUGCAGGAUCAGCUCCAAAGUUUCUUCACAAAGAGGGAUAUGUUACAGUAAUGUCAUAUCAGCACUGUAAUCAGCACAGAUGGAUCUGACACUGGCCAUUUGGACUUGGUAAUAAGUCCCAAGAAGUUAUUUGGAAUGACUCAGCCACCGCAUUUUCCUGGCCAAGUCCUGCUGCAUUCUUCCAUCCCACACAUAUUUCCUACAGGCUGCACUUUUUCUGAUGAAAAUUAAUAUUUUUAUAUUACUACAUCAUUCAAAAGCCCAUUGCGUGACAAAACUAUUUCCAUUAUCAGCAUCUCAUUUUAAUUACAAAUUAAGAGCCUGAUACUGAAAAUCUUUUUUUCCACAUUGUAACUAAACCCUAUGCAGCAGAUAAGGAAAUAUCCACUAGCUAGAAGUAGUACCAGGGGCCUUAUCCGGUCUGCAGAUACUAGAGGGAAUCUCUCUCUCUCUC